rnacentral:rRNA from 1 species
UGGGGAAUUUUGGACAAUGGGCGAAAGCCUGAUCCAGCAAUGCCGCGUGUGUGAAGAAGGCCUUCGGGUUGUAAAGCACUUUUGUCCGGAAAGAAAUCCUUGGCUCUAAUACAGUCGGGGGAUGACGGUACCGGAAGAAUAAGCACCGGCUAACUACGUGCCAGCAGCCGCGGUAAUACGUAGGGUGCAAGCGUUAAUCGGAAUUACUGGGCGUAAAGCGUGCGCAGGCGGUUUGCUAAGACCGAUGUGAAAUCCCCGGGCUCAACCUGGGAACUGCAUUGGUGACUGGCAGGCUAGAGUAUGGCAGAGGGGGGUAGAAUUCCACGUGUAGCAGUGAAAUGCGUAGAGAUGUGGAGGAAUACCGAUGGCGAAGGCAGCCCCCUGGGCCAAUACUGACGCUCAUGCACGAAAGCGUGGGGAGCAAACAGGAUUAGAUACCCUGGUAGUCCACGCCCUAAACGAUGUCAACU